AACGAACGCUGGCGGCAGGCUUAACACAUGCAAGUCGAGCGCCCCGCAAGGGGAGCGGCAGACGGGUGAGUAACGCGUGGGAAUCUACCCAUCUCUACGGAAUAACGCAUGGAAACGUGUGCUAAUACCGUAUACGUCCUUCGGGAGAAAGAUUUAUCGGAGAUGGAUGAGCCCGCGUUGGAUUAGCUAGUUGGUGGGGUAAAGGCCUACCAAGGCGAUGAUCCAUAGCUGGUCUGAGAGGAUGAUCAGCCACACUGGGACUGAGACACGGCCCAGAGUCCCACGGGAGGCAGCAGUGGGGAAUAUUGGACAAUGGGCGCAAGCCUGAUCCAGCCAUGCCGCGUGAGUGAUGAAGGCCCUAGGGUUGUAAAGCUCUUUCACCGGUGAAGAUAAUGACGGUAACCGGAGAAGAAGCCCCGGCUAACUUCGUGCCAGCCGCCGCGGUAACAC
rnacentral:rRNA from 1 species